rnacentral:rRNA from 1 species
GCAGGCGGGGAUUAGGUCGGCGGUGAAUAUCCGGGCUCAACCUUGAGAGUGCCGUCGAAACCGGUUUUCUUGAGUGCGGAUGAAGUAGGCGGAAUUUGUGGUGUAGCGGUGAAAUGCGUAGAUAUCACAAAGAACACCGAUUGCGGAGGCAGCUUACUAAACCGCAACUGACGCUCAUGCACGAAGGCGUGGGGAUCAAACAGGAUUAGAUACCCUGGUAGUCCACGCAGUAAACGAUGAUUACUAGCUGUUUGCGAUACAAUGUAAGCGGCUGAGCGAAAGCGUUAAGUAAUCCACCUGGGGAGUACGUUCGCAAGAAUGAAACUCAAAGGAAUUGACGGGGGCCCGCACAAGCGGAGGAACAUGUGGUUUAAUUCGAUGAUACGCGAGGAACCUUACCCGGGCUUGAAAUGCAUCUGACCGGGCCGGAAACGGUCUUUCCCAGCGAUGGGCAGAUGUGUAGGUGCUGCAUGGUUGUCGUCAGCUCGUGCCGUGAGGUGUCGGCUUAAGUGCCAUAACGAGCGCAACCCUCAUCGUCAGUUACCAUCGGGUAAAGCCGGGGACUCUGACGAGACUGCCAUCGUAAGAUGCGAGGAAGGUGGGGAUGACGUCAAAUCAGCACGGCCCUUAUGUCCGGGGUGACACACGUGUUACAAUGGGCGGUACAGCGGGGAGCUACCUGGCGACAGGGAGCCGAUCCCGAAAGCCGCUCACAGUUCGGAUCGGAGUCUGCAACUCGACUCCGUGAAGUCGGAUUCGCUAGUAA